ACAACCAGAGACUUCACCGCAUUCGCAGUGUGCAUAAGUUUUAAUCUGCCUUUGUUACAAUCAGUUGAGCUCUGGGUUCGGGAUGUGUGGGCACGUCUCUUCUUUGGAUGCCGCUCGGGUCACACAGAAGGCUGAAUGCUCAUCGAAAGCAUCAGCUUGACUUAUAAGCCAAGUUGCAGCUUAAAUGGGAAUAAUCUUCAAAGUCCGAAGUGUUGCCCGUGGCAUCAGCAAGGUUUAAUACCCUCGGUAUUUGGGCAAGAGUGCAAAAACAAUUCACAAGUUGCACGCAGUAAAUAAAAUAAAAUGCGAAAGAGUGCUGCUAAAAGACGCUUCUCAGCAGCCAAGCGAUUUGUGUGCAAAUUUUCAACUGUCAUUAUAUGUACACAUGUGUGUGUGUGGGUGUGUGAUAUGUGU